AUCCAGUUAACGAGUCCCGAAUAGGGCGAAACGGGCGUCCUGGAU
rfam:Schistosoma rodhaini strain Burundi genome assembly, scaffold: SROB_scaffold0000281